GAAGGUGUCCCGCAAGGUCCCUCGGCACCGCUGUGUACUCCGGGGCAGCGGUCUCGGGCAGUUCACAGAAUCACUGAAUAUUCUGAGUUGAUAGAGACCCACAAGGAUCAUCGAGUCUAACUCUUAGCCCUGCAUAGGAUCAUCCCCAAUAGUCACCCCAUGUGCCCAAGCAUUGCCUCUAGAAUUCAAACAGGCUUGGUGCCACGACCACUUCCCUGAGGAGCCUGUUCCAGGGCCCAACCACCCUCUGGGUGAAGAACCGUUUCCUAAUAUCCAGCCUAAACCUCAUCUGACACAGCUUAAUGCCUCAAGCUUAAGCCAUUUGAAAAGAAAUACAGACUUGACCGAUCUACAGUGUGGCUAAAUAUCCAGUCUGAAGCCAUGUCCGCCAGUGUGAUGUCCAGCUUCUAAAAUAAAUCUUCUGAAGUACCAGCCAGAGGACAUGUGAAGGAGAUAGCUGCAUGCUGAGAAAGCAUGGCUGACUGUGCUAUAUCUGUCAUUUUGACUUUUCUACAAGACUUUUGAUAAGAGUACAGAAAGAAGCAUGUGUACAGUUUAUAAGGCUAAGUAAUUCUGGGCAAUAGCGCGAGCGAAUCUUCUGUGCAUAUUGCAAAGAGACAAGGAAGCUGACGCGUCUAAAAUGCCAUCUCUAAGGAAAAAAACACACCCAAGGUAUUUUCUGUUCUCUUAAGCAUGUACUGCAUUUUUCUCAAAGACAUUUUUCUAAACUCUGCAUGAGAUGAACAGCAACAAAGAAAAACAUCAGCCUGCUGUUCUUUCACUAAAUAUAACUAUUAAUAGUAUAAUGAUCACUCAGUCAUGAAGACUUUUCCAUUACAACUCAAGCACCUUUUCUAAAUGUAAGUGUAUCAAAGGCCACCAAGUUCAUAAAAUACUCAUUUUGUAAAUGUCAUAUUCUACUUCUUUUAU